rnacentral:rRNA from 1 species
CCUACGGGAGGCAGCAGUGGGGAAUAUUGGGCAAUGGACGCAAGCCUGACCCAGCAACGCCGCGUGAAGGAAGAAGGCUUUCGGGUUGUAAACUUCUUUUCUGAGGGACGAAGAAAGUGACGGUACCUCAGGAAUAAGCCACGGCUAACUACGUGCCAGCAGCCGCGGUAAUACGUAGGUGGCAAGCGUUAUCCGGAUUUAUUGGGUGUAAAGGGAGUGUAGGCGGGAAGGCAAGUCAGAUGUGAAAGCUCAGGGCUCAACCCUGAGACUGCAUUUGAAACUGUUUUUCUUGAGUGCUGUAGAGGCAAUCGGAAUUCCGUGUGUAGCGGGGAAAUGCGUAGAUAUAAGGAGGAACACCAGUGGCGAAGGCGGAUUGCUGGACAGUAACUGACGCUGAGGCGCGAAAGCGUGGGGAGCAAACAGGAUUAGAUACCCGGGUAGUC